UUUUUCUCCUCAUCCCCGUUUUAUAAAGACUAACACCUUGAUUAUUUUUACUGGAGAAAUCUAUAUAUUUAUGACGUGAAUCCUGUCUUCAUAAUACUUCAUGUAGAAAUCCUUUUGGAGUUUAUGUGUUUACAACGUGAUAUAUAUAUUUUGAAUGGGAGAGUCUGGGUUGUGUAACUUGAUAUGCUUUCUUCAAAGAAAGUAGGACGUUUGAAGAUUUAAUUUAGAGAUUCUAUUAGUGUUUCUGGAAUAAUUCAUGAAGAAGCUUUUAACAUGGAUUUUUUUUUUCUUUUUUCUUUUUUAUCUAAAAACGAUAUCAGAAAUUUCUCUAGUGCAGGAGUACAGAUUUUGAUUUUGAUGAUAAGUUGGGCUUUUCAAGGUUUGCAUGAUAUGUAAUUUUUUAAAUGGUUUUCUUCAGGGAAUAGAGGUAGAGGAAGCUUUAAAUUCUUUGAAGGAAUUUCUGAUAUGAUCAAUGAUCUCUGUUUCUUGCUCCGCAGCCCUGAAUUUUACCUGAUGGAUCUAUUAUGGAGAAAAGGAAAAAACAAAAAGAACAUUUGUUUUCGGACUUGAUUCACUUGUCACAAUUAAAAAAUACUUGCCUAUAAAUAUGUGAAAUUUGACUCUUAAGAUGCUAUCUUGCAGAGGAUGGAGCUUGUGUGAAUGUUUUCCUCCAAAUAAGUAGUCAAAGACAAGUCAAAAUAUCCAUAUGGGGCUAUUGGAUCUUUUCAUUACUGCUUCAAUGCCAGUCCUGAAAGUGCUUUUGGUAACUCUUAUUGGCUCACUUCUUGCACUAGAUCAAAUAGAUAUUCUAGGGGAGGAUGCAAGGAAGCACUUAAAUCAGAUUGUAUACUUUGUAUUUACCCCAGCACUUGUGGGUAGCUACCUUGCUAAAACAAUAACUCUUGAAAGGAUGGCCAUGUUGUGGUUCAUGCCAGUUAAUAUCCUUAUCACAUAUAUCAUUGGUUCAAUACUUGGAUGGAUAGUUAUACGUAUCACAAGGCCUCCUUCACAUUUGAAGGGCCUCAUCUUGGGCUGCUGUUCUGCAGGAAAUAUGGGGAAUAUGUUUAUCAUUUUCAUCCCAGCAGUGUGUAAAGAGAAAGGAAAUCCUUUUGGAGCUCAUGAAAUCUGCCACACAUAUGGUCUAGCUUAUGCUUCCCUUUCUAUGGCUAUAGGAGCUGUUUAUUUGUGGGCUUAUGUCUACAAUCUUGUGCGGGUAUCUUCUUGUACCAGCAGUGUCCAAGUGAAUGGUUCCACAAUUUGUUCAAAGUUGUCUGGAGAAACCUCAGAAUAUAAAGGAAGUUGCACUGAAGCACUACUUAAUUCACAAGAUUGUUCUAUCUCCAGUGACUUCUCAGAUCAAUAUAAACUGCCUUGCAUUGAACCUCAGGGAGAACUGAAGGGGCCAAUUUCAGUUAAAUUUAGACACCAAUUAGAGAUUCUUUUGGAAAAUAUUAACUGGAAAGCUUUGGUCUCACCUUCAAUUAUUGGAGCGUUUGUUGGGUUUUUGGUUGGAAUAGUCCCUCAGAUGCGAAGGUCAGUGAUUGGUGAAAAUGCUCCUCUUCGUGUGAUCCAAGACUCAGCUUCAUUGGUGGGUGAUGGAGCUGUCCCAGCACUCACCCUGAUAAUGGGAGGAAACCUAAUGAAGGGUUUACAAGGGUCCCAAAUUAAGCUGUCACUCAUUUUUGGUAUCAUAAUAGUACGUUAUAUUACCCUGCCCUUGCUUGGAAUUCUCAUUAUUAAAGGGGCAAUUCGCUAUGGCUUGGUUCACUCUGAUCCAUUGUAUCAGUUUGUUCUUUUGCUUCAGUUUGCAGUUCCGCCUGCCAUGAACAUAGGUAUUGUAAAUGAUUCUUGCCAAGAACGGGAGUGCAAUGCUCAUAGCUAAGGAACUUAUUGGAUGGACCCCAAGAAACAUGUGGCUGUAUUUUUUAACUAUGCACAUUCAAGCUGGUUAGGAUAAAUACUUUAUAUGACUGUCUUGCAUUAUUCAACAGUUCUUGCCUUUGGGAACAUAUUUUCUCCUUUUCUUCCUAUGAUUUAUUCUGGUAGUCAUGCCAUCCAACUAUGUAGAGUGUAGCAUGACUGAACUAGAUUGAAUGUAGGGGGUGCAACUUGGGCAGGCUCAGAUUGAAGAUUUGUUAAGUUUUGAAUCGGCCACACCUGAGGGCUCAAGCCUGAUGCUAUGUAAAAUUUUCAGAUCGGGUACUUGACUUGCACCCCCGGUUGAGUGACUUGAAUUGAAUCAUGGACAAUUACCCAAUUGUUUGGGACUGGGGAGAGAGAAUGCUCUGUCAUCAUGCUGUGGACUUACAUCCUUGCCUCUGUUUCGAUUACCCU